rnacentral:sRNA from 1 species
GCUGGGCCUGGUGGUGCAUGCCUAUAAUCCCAGUGACUCAGGAGGCUGAGGCAGGAGGAUUGCAAGUUCAAGGCUAGGCUCAACAAUUUAGUGAGGCCCUAACCAACUAAGUGAGACCCUGUCUUAA